rnacentral:rRNA from 1 species
UACAGAGGGGGCAAGCGUUGUUCGGAAUUACUGGGCGUAAAGGGCGCGUAGGCGGCCUUCUAAGUCGAACGUGAAAUCCCCGGGCUCAACCCGGGAACUGCGUCCGAUACUGGAAGGCUUGAAUCCGGGAGAGGGAUGCGGAAUUCCAGGUGUAGAGGUGAAAUUCGUAGAUAUUGGGAAGAACACCGGUGGCGAAGGCGGCGAGCUGGUCCAUUACUGACGCUGAGGCGCGACAGCGUGGGGAGCAAACAGG